rnacentral:rRNA from 1 species
GUGGGGAAUAUUGGACAAUGGGCGAAAGCCUGAUCCGGCCAUGCCGCGUGUGUGAAGAAGGUCUUCGGAUUGUAAAGCACUUUAAGUUGGGAGGAAGGGCAGUAAGUUAAUACCUUGCUGUUUUGACGUUACCGACAGAAUAAGCACCGGCUAACUUCGUGCCAGCAGCCGCGGUAAUACGAAGGGUGCAAGCGUUAAUCGGAAUUACUGGGCGUAAAGCGCGCGUAGGUGGUUCAGUAAGUUGGAAGUGAAAUCCCCGGGCUCAACCUGGGAACUGCCUCCAAAACUGCAUGACUAGAGUACGGUAGAGGGUAGUGGAAUUUCCUGUGUAGCGGUGAAAUGCGUAGAUAUAGGAAGGAACACCAGUGGCGAAGGCGACUACCUGGACUGAUACUGACACUGAGGUGCGAAAGCGUGGGGAGCAAACAGGAUUAGAUACCCGGGUAGUCC